AAAAAAAACUUAAUGUAAACAGUAGCCAGAAUGUUUUGUUUUGAAAAUUCCUCCACAAGCCUAUGCUUACAUUUGCGCUGCAGUUGCUCAGAAUGUUUAAGAGUGGUGGUUCAAAGAACUGAGGCUUUCGUGGCAGAACUGGGACUCAAUCUGGUACCACUGACUUGACAGCAGAAGCUGUUGAAUACUUGGAACAAACUUCAGUGUGUUGAAAAUCCUUUUCUUUGGCACAGCAGUUCUGGAGCAACACCUCAGAGAGCAGUUCCUGGAGGAAGCAACACUUCUUUCAAUGCCCAAAGCAUCAAAGUUGGUUGUACAGUAUUGAAAUGAAACAGUUCACCUGGUACAGGUAUAUCUUAUGUUGACUAGCUUCAAAUGAGAGGUUGAAUGGUCAUCCAUUGAAGAACUUGUACUGAACCUAAGAGCAGCUUUUGAUUAUUUUCUGUUGCUGAAUUUGAUGGAACAAACUUUGGAUUGUGGAGGGACUGCACAAUGACCGAUCCAAUAUUGUUGUCCAUGAGGGAAAUUGUUCAUUAUCAAACCUGCUGAUCAGCACUUCAGACUUCUUUAUUUUCAGUUUUGGAAACUAAUUCCUGAAUGCUGGCAUUUAGACCAGGCACACUGCAACUACAACAUACUACUCAAGAGAGGCUUAGAUUUGACUACUGUUAUAGCUGCUACAAAUGCAGCCUUAAAACACCUGGGAUGUCUACCAUGAGUCUGCAGUUUGACUACUCACUCAGUAAACAAGAAGCCUUUCUUAGCUGUGAGUAACAUUAGGAAAAGAAAUGUGUUAAUGCUUAUUAAUCAUCUCUUAAUUCUUCAUCCACGCUGACUUACAUAAUAAUUAGUUGUGUACUGUAUUUCAAUAACGUGUACAAAUGUAUUUGUGCUUAUUGUGAAAUCCUGCUCACAGAUUAAGGGAAGGAUUUCCAUGGACUUCAGCUGAAUCAGGAAUCAAAUGUCUGCUCCUGUCAAAGGACAACCUUCCAAAGCUUGUUGCUGGCAGUUCAUUCAUGCAAAGCACAGAGCUCUACACAACUUCAGUGCUGAAACUUCUGCAGCCAGUUUAGAUGAUUUUUUUUAAUAGCACCCUAACUGUGCUGUUAACGUGUUCCUUGCUUUUACACCCUUCAGAUACUCAUCUACUCUAGUUAUUUCAUGCUGUACUUAUUUAUUCAUUACUUAUUCUCAUGUCUAGUGCUCCAACUAUAUUCAUUUUAUGUUUUGUUUUCCCAUUGCUCCAAUAAAGUUUGGUCUUCCUACUUCAUUCAACAGUAGAACACAUCAACUGGUGCAAAACCUUUGUAUCAGAACAGCAUCUCCAGCGUUACUGCACUGUUAAGUGCUGAAGUGGAGAAGGUAUGAACAGCUGAAACGCUGUUCUGAUCACUGCCACCACCACUGCAACAGAGACUACUCAGACAUGUUGACUUUGCUUGUUUGCUCUGCAGUGGCAGCAUUAACUGCGGGCUCUCUUAUACUCUCCACAGUAGCUGCUUUUAACUUGACUCAGCCAUGGGAAAUGGAGGAACGGUGCAUUUGUUCGAAACAUGAAGAACUGAGGAACGACUGUCCUGUGUUAUCUUUCUGUGCACUGUUUUCAGCAGCUCUGCAUCACCUGUUUCACUGCUGCAUAAAUUAUACAGCAAUUUAGGCAGCAUUUGCCAGCUGAUGAAGUAAUAAUCAGGCUGGCAUUACAUCAACCCCUAAAAACAGCUUCACAUCCUUUUUAUUUAAAAAAGAAAGAAAGAAAAGUAAUGUAUCACGGAAAAUCUCUGCGCUCAUUUUGGUGUAAAAUACUCUUUAGUGUUACGGACCAGGUCUUAACAUCAUCAAUCAUAGCUUAAAUGAGAAGAAAGACAGUCGAAAAAGGACUAUUUUGACAUUGUACAAACUUCUUUUUGUUGGGAAGUUCAUACUAUGUCUCUUCUUCAUCCCUUCUCUUCUGUGCACUCACCCUUCCUCAUUUUAGGCAGCUCUGCAGGAAGAGCCACAGAACGUUCCAGUUGCACAUCAGGCUUUGUGUGUUAUAGCAUUUGAGGAUGCUGGGAUCAGCACAAUACUCUUUCACCUCCUGAUGACAGAUAUCUCUCCAAAGGUGCUGUACUGAAGGGAGUAAUAAGUCCUUAAGGCAAUACAAAAAGGUAAGUGUAGCAGAAAUGCUGAAACAGCCUGAACCAGUGAUGGAGCCCCUGGUGGGAAGGCAGGGCCAACCCAGGGAAGCUCAGGUGUAAGCAAUACAACACACCUGAGUGACUGGAAGGGGUGGAACCAGGAUCCACCUCUUCCCAGACCUCAUUUAAGGGCUGGCAGUGAAGGCAGGGGUAUUUUGCUGGAGAUCCUUUUCUUCUUUGUGCCUUCUGUGGGUAAGCAGAGUAUUUCCUUUGUUUCUGUGUCUAUAGCUGUCACGUUUGGGCAUACCCUCAGUUGCUGUGGCCUAGGGCUUUGCUACUAAGGUGUCAUUGCUGCGCUUCCCAUUGUGUUACAGCCUUACAUUAAGCAUAAGGCUAUGUGAACUCCCUUGAUAGAACUAGGAUUUGGAAUUGCAGCUUCAAUCCUUCUCUCUGCUCUGGUUUUAUUGUUUAAAUAAUCAGCUUUUACACGCAUAUGUGUGUAAUAGAUUUGAUGCCAGAAGUAGUAUUUUUUUCAGCUAAGUUCUCCCAUAUCAGGUAGAACCAUUUUGGUUCCCCAAAAUACAGUCCUUAGAUGCACUAUGACUUGUUGCAACUUCCUAUUUCAGCAGUCUUCAAAUUAGCAAUGUCUUAUUUCUAUGCAUAUAAACUCUAUUUGCUUUCAUGGGUUUCAAUGUCAAAAACAAAACUCCAGUAACGUUAUACAUGCAACAAGAGCAAAUCUCAUUCAUUAUAUUGCAACAAAACAUGCAUUGCUGUCUGAUGCUUCCAGCAGUUCCUGUCACAACUUGUCUUCACAGAAUGAUUUCAUGAAGCACACAACAGCUUGUUAGAUGAAAUCUGCUUUCUUGACUGACUCCAGCUGUAUCAUCUGCUGGGGCCCUUAAACCUUAGCAAAGGUCUGAAAGCUACACCUGGUACUGAGCCUUCUGGAGCUGAGUGGCAUGAUUUGGGAGUUUCAGCUGAGCCCACUAAUAUUCAGUCAAACUCUAGCAGAAAACACCUUUUAAGCAAUGGUAAGGCUAGUGUAUGCUGGAAUAUGCUCCUUUAGGAGUUUUUGUUAUCUCAAAGCUAUGCAGAAAUCUUACAGUAACUUUUGUGGCAACACUAUUUAAUCUGGUGUCUGCCACAAUGCUGGAUCUGUAAGGAAGGACAGCAGAGGCGAUUCUUAAUGCAUUAAGUUCACAGGUUGUGAACGUGGCACUAAGUACUCAGUCUCUUUAGAAAUGAAAGUUUGCUAGUAAUGUUUUCUGGUGUAGAAAAAUCUCAGCAGGUGUCAGGUUUCAUUGUACCAGGAAGAUGUCUGAGCACACCUUCCUGCAUGGGAAGGCAGGGAACACAAAUAAUUCUCUUGGGAUGUGGAUCAGCACAGAAGCCAUAUUCUAUUUUCAGAGCUCUACUGGAAUGCUUCCAAGACCACCAUGACAAAACUACUUCAGUAUGGGUGGUAAACGUGUCUCUACUGUUACUGCAGACUCUUCUGCACUGUUUGCUAUGCAUUCUUUAGCUACUGUUUCUUGUGUAGAUGGAUUCUUUCUGUGCUGCCACCUCAUCCUUGGACCCCUCACUGGAUACACAAGUGGAAAAAGGCAAACAAAUCAUGUGCUCCGCUAAGAAGAUACCAUUUGCAGGGUGGAACCUGCAGAUGAUCAAGUGCAGGCAUCUUCCGAGGUGAGGUCCAAAGAAUGGUGCUUUAAAAAAGACAACUUCAGCUAACAGCAGACAUUUACUGUGUACAGUACUGGUCACAGGAGAACAUUCCCUUCUCUCUCCAGUCAUGCAGUAACGUUACUGUAAAGGUAAGAUUCCUUCAUUUCUAAAGCUUACCAACUGUUUGGGUCUUAAUGUAUUUCAUCUUUAGACACUUAGCAAGCUGCAGCAGUCACAGCAACUGUAGUCAUUAAAACUGUAGUCAUUAAACUUGUCUAUUACAGGAAAAAUACUAUUAGCGUUCCACAGAUGUAAUCUCUCAUCUGAAACUGUAAGAAAUUGUCCAUGAGAAACAUCACAUGCAGGUUAAAAGUAAUAAGAUCUAGGACCACAACCAUGCAGCUCAUAUAUGUGGAUCGGUAUAAGAACCUAAUAUUUCUUAAGAAAUCACUUUUUUAUUUAAAUUCUACUUAAUAACUAUUUUUAAAGUAUUACUUUUUAUUAAACUUAUUAAGGCUUUAUGACAUAAUUGUUAAAACGCCUUACCAAAAGGCCACUUAAAAAAUACACUGCCUCUAGAUCAGAAACAGUUGUGCUCCUCUGACUGUUCCUUACAGAGCUUUAAAGCCAGUUUCUGCAUUACCAGAGCUCAACAUGACCUCAGGCUAAAAAGUCUUACAAUACUGAAAUCAAAAUACUUGCCAGACUGAUGUGACUUACAGUCCCCUCCUUAGCAAGGACAUCUUGAGAACAGAGCUGAAGAAGAAAACUGAUCAUUUUAUCAACAUAAUUUAUAAGAUAGCUGAAAGUGUUGACUGAAAUGCACAGAUUUUCAAACGUUAAAUACAUGUCGUGCACAUACUUCAUCCCAAUUCUGAGCUGAGGUUUUCAGACCAGUCAUCGAACAAAGCCUUGAUAGAACAAGAGCUCCUAAUGCAUGUUAAUGUCCUUGCCAAAAAACACAACGCGUGAUCCAAUGCAUUAAUAUACAAAGGGAUGACGUUAUUCCUUGAACAGAGGAAAAAAAUGAAAGUGCUUUCCAGCCCCCUCAGAGCUUUACUCCAGAAUCCUUUGUACAAAUAUUGAUGACAAAUUCUGGUGAAUCACACUUCGAGUCUUGCUUGUAACCACUUACAAAUCAGAACGUAUGUGUUAGCACACACAGAUGGACAUAAGCAUUUCUAAACCAGAAAUAAAUUACAACAGUAGCACUGGGAUAAAGGCAAAUGACAAGGGAGCACUGGCAUGUAGCACAUCCUUUGAAUUAGCUCAGUUAGGCAUCCUGCUGUCAAGCAAAAAUUUGGUAAGGAUGCUGACAGUCCUUUCACAGUUCCUUCUUUCUAUACGCACACCUUCCCCAGCUGAGGAGGAUUCAUGCAAGGAGCCCAUUCCUACAUGGGAGAGGCACUGCUGAGGCCUCUGCCCAGUCAGCUUUGCUACAGCCUUGAUUACCGUUUUCAGGCUGUCAUUUAGUGAUUCCAUGAAGUCCAAGGUAGUUCAGUUCAGGUGGAUCUUUAGGAUGAAGCUGCUGCUUCUCUGAUGUGCUGAAAACAUUUGAAGCGCUUUGGAAAAACUAAAUAAUGUUACUGCACCAAAAAAAAAAAAGGCAUUUAAAGAA